AUUUAAAAAACGCCUCCACGUGGCAGUGGUUUUGUGUGUAGUGACCCUUAGAUGGCUCUCUGUGCAGCUUGUCUCCCUUUCCCAGCUACAUGUGUACAUCAGAAAGCAACCAUCAUCUGAUUUGUACCUUUGCACAAAGAAACGUCAGUGUUGGCUGAGGCAGCCGGAUACUGUUGCAUCAGAAGUUGUACAAUAAUGAUGCCACAUGUGGAUUGAAAUUUUAAAGCUGGAUUCUAGGAGAAAUGGGGGGUAUCAUGCAAAGACAGAUUGCUAGGGCUCCUGAGCCUUUAACAGCUGUAUGGAAGCAGAAAUUAACUGCAGCUUGAUAGCUGGACACAAGGCAGUCCAAGGGAAGAGAAGCCAAGUGGAAAAUGCUUCUGUGAUAACUUUGAAAUGAUAACACAUCAAAGAGUCCAUAUGAAAGAGAAACCACAUAAAUGCUUGUGGAAAAAAAUAAAAGGCAUCAAGUUGCGCACAAAGCCAGAAAUGUGACAUUCAGCCAGCAGUAAGCCAAAUAUUUAUAAAUGAAGCAUUUUCCAGGGCUGAAGUCCAGUAAUAGAGGCUUGCUCAGAAAAUACAUUUUGCUGAUGUUUAGGAAUUUUGCAACAUUGCCCUCACUCUAUGGAUGGAAUAAGUCUUUGGAUCCUUAAAGACUGUCUUCAUUCUGCAUUUUGAAAAUUUUAUGGAGCUCUGUUUUAACAUAUAUGUAUCUGCUGUUGUUAUUUUCUUGUUAAUUUUUAAAAUGUUAAUUCUGUGCACUAUUUUAUUGUUU